GAAAAAUCGUAAAUGGUUAAUGGACUGGUUCUUACGCAGCACUUUUCUAUUCUGAGUGUGAAUUCCAGGAUGCAGACGGCACCAGAAACAAGUGUGGUGGUUUUAAACAGAAAAAGACUUUGAGGAUUUCAGAGAUUACUUCAGAAAAACAAUCAGAAAAUUUUCACUGCUAAGCCUGGACAGAAGAACGUCACUCUUCCAUGUCGAGCUCCAAACAACAGCAGCAGCAUCACCGGUGUAGAGUGGAGCAGAGCUGACCUGGAAGAUGAAUAUGUGCUUUUGUACCAGGAUGACCAGCUUGAUACAACCAACCAGCAUCCAUCUUUUAAGAAUCAGGUGGAUCUGCAGGACAGACAGAUGAAGGAUGGAGACGUGUCUUUGAUUCUGA
ensembl:lncRNA